ensembl:lncRNA
CUCAGGAUGAAGAGCAGUUGUGUGUGUGGAUGAGGGGGAAAGUGAGGGAUGUGCACUCAGAGAUGGGGUGCAGGAAGAGUUGCAGUUGUGUGCGUGUGUGUGUGUUUGUGUGUCUGGGUGGGUGUGAGGAAGAGGGGGCAGAUGAGGGAUGUGCACUCAGGGCAACGGUGCACGUGAUGUCUCAGGAUGAUGAGAAGUUGUGUGUGUGUGUAUGUGUGUGUGUGUGUAUGAGGUGGCAGGUGAGGGAUGUGCACUCAGGCAAAGGGUGCGGGUGAAGUCUCAGGAUGAAGAGAUGGUCUGUGUGUGUGGAAGAGGGGUCAAGUGAGGGAUGUGCACUCAGGUUUCUUCACAUCGUCAUCAUAUUUGGUCAGUCUCAUCUAAAGGCAUUGACUAUGCUAAUUUGAGAAGCUUUCGAGUUUUCACUGCAUGGCGUGGGUAUGGCGGUCUCACAAAUUUCAAUGUUUCACCAUGAAAAAGGCAGUUGUUAUAACUCAAACAUACACUGUCCAAUCUGUUCCAAACUUCACGUUUGAUAAAAGUUCAGGCCUGAAGUCAUCUACAUGCCAAUAAUUACGUAGUCAUAGUGCCACCUAGUGGCAACAACCAAUUCUUGGCCAUGCAUUUUAACAAACUCCUCCUAGAGAUUUCAUCUGAUCAACA